rnacentral:tRNA from 1 species
GUGGGUGUGGCUCAGUGGCAGAGACUUGCUUAGCAUGCAUGAGGCCCUGGGUUCUGUCCCCAGCACCACCA